rnacentral:rRNA from 1 species
GAGUUUGAUCCUGGCUCACUAUUGAACGCUGGCGGCAUGCCUAACACAUGCAAGUCGAACGGUAACGCGGAGAGCUUGCUCUUUGGCGACGAGUGGCGGACGGGUGAGUAACACUUAGGAACCUGCCCAGUAGUGGGGGACAACAUUCGGAAACGGAUGCUAAUACCGCAUACGCACUACGGUGGAAAGCGGGGGAUCUUCGGACCUCGCGCUAUUGGAUGAGCCUAAGUCGGAUUAGCUUGUUGGUGAGGUAAAAGCUCACCAAGGCGACGAUCCGUAGCUGGUCUGAGAGGACGAUCAGCCACACUGGGACUGAGACACGGCCCAGACUCCUACGGGAGGCAGCAGUGGGGAAUAUUGGACAAUGGGCGCAAGCCUGAUCCAGCAAUGUCGCGUGUGUGAAGAAGGCCUGCGGGUUGUAAAGCACUUUCAGUAGAGAAGAAAAGCCUAGGGUUAAUACCCCUGAGUCUUGACGUAACCUACAGAAGAUGCACCGGCUUAACUCCGUGCCAGCAGCCGCGGUAAUACGGAGGGUGCAAGCGUUUAAUCGGAAUUUACUGGGCGUAAAGCGCGCGUUAGGCGGUUUUUGUAAGUCGGAU